rnacentral:rRNA from 1 species
UACGGAGGGGGCAAGCGUUAUUCGGAAUCAUUGGGCGUAAAGGGCGCGUAGGCGGCUUGGCAAGUCAAAGGUGAAAUCCCUCGGCCUAACCGAGGAACUGCCUUUGAAACUGCUUGGCUUGAGGCCGGGAGAGGGUAGCGGAAUUCCCAGUGUAGCGGUGAAAUGCGUAGAUAUUGGGAGGAACACCAGUGGCGAAGGCGGCUCACUGGACCGGAACUGACGCUGAGGCGCGAAAGCGUGGGGAGCAAACAGG